AUACUUACCUGGCAGGGGAGAUACCGUGUUCCAGAUGGCGGUUCUCCCAGGGCGAGGCUCUGACUUGCUGAUCCCUCCAAAUUCCACAAAUCUGGGAAUCUUGACUGCAUCAUUUCUGGUAGUGGGGGUCUGAAUUCACGCUCUCUCCUG
ensembl:snRNA U1 U1 spliceosomal RNA